rnacentral:rRNA from 1 species
GCUACUCAAGGGUGUAUGGUGGAUGGCUUGACAAAACAUGCUGAUGAAGGACGUAGCAGUCUGCGAUAAGCUUCGGUGAGGUGACAAGCAACCUUUGACCCGGAGAUGUCCGAAUGGGGAAACCCGGCUGGGGUAAUGCCCAGUCACUGUGCACUAAAUACAUAGGUGUACAGGAGGCACCCAGGGAAGUGAAACAUCUCAGUACCUGGAGGAAAAGAAAAUAACGAGUACUAUUCUCAUCUUGACGCUCGACCUAGUCGAGAAUCGAGAUGACGAAUAGUUGCUUACAUUCCCAAAGUAGUGGCGAGCGAAAUGGGAUCAGCCUAAACCAACCAAGUGAAAUACGCUGAAGUAUCUCUUCGGAGAUGUGGAUGCGAUAUGAAAGGUAACAGCCGUUGCUUGGUUGGUGUUGUAAGUCCAGAUGUGCACAUCUGUUAAUGUGCGGUAUGUAUAGAUGAUCUUUAGUGGAAUCUUCUGGAAAGAAGAACCAAAGAAGGUGAUAGUCCUGUACGCAAAAAGGAUGCAUCUACAUACGGUCUGGCACUUAAGUACGGCGGGACACGUGAAAUCCUGUCGGAAUCUGCCGCGACUAUGCGGCAAGGCUAAAUACAUGUUUUGAUCGAUAGUGUACUAGUACCGUGAGGGAAAGCUGAAAAG